rnacentral:misc_RNA from 1 species
CCUUUCUUGAGAGGUUACUUGAAGAUCUGAGCUAAUCUACUCCUCUCUCCGUUCAAAGCCUUCAGCUUCACAAACAAUGGAUCAUCUUCGCUCUCAAAUCUCCUAUCGAACAUAAUCCUGUACAUAUUAUUAUACAUCAACAGCUGCAGUCUUUUCCGCAACACAAUCCCACUGGUGGCCGCCUGCGGGUUGUUCUUCACAUCUUCCACCACCUUCGCCGC